rnacentral:rRNA from 1 species
GAUGAACGCUAGCUACAGGCUUAACACAUGCAAGUCGAGGGGAAACGACAUCGAAAGCUUGCUUUUGAUGGGCGUCGACCGGCGCACGGGUGAGUAACGCGUAUCCAACCUGCCCAUCACUUGGGAAUAACCUUGCGAAAGUAAGACUAAUACCCAAUGAUAUCCCACGAAGGCAUCGGAAUGGGAUUAAAGAUUUAUCGGUGAUGGAUGGGGAUGCGUCUGAUUAGCUUGUUGGCGGGGUAACGGCCCACCAAGGCAACGAUCAGUAGGGGUUCUGAGAGGAAGGCCCCCCGCCAUUGAACUGAGCCCCGGUCCCAACUCCUACCGGAGGCAGCAGUGAGGAAGACUGGGCAAUAGGCGGGAGCCUAGACCAGCCAAGUAGCGUGCAAGAAGACGGCCCUUUUGGUUGUAAACUGCUUUUAUUAGGGGAUAAAAUGGGUCACGUGUGACUUUUUGCAUGUACCUUAUGAAUAAGGACCGGCUAAUUCCGUG